rnacentral:lncRNA from 1 species
AUUGUGAUACAAUAGAAGUCAAAAUGUUUCUAAUCACAGUAAAUCAAAAAAGCGGACCCUUUAAGUACCCACAGAAUAAAAUCCCAAAUGUCCUCUCCCAGCUUCUGCAGGUACAUUCUAUGUGGAUCAUGCAGGAUUUUGUAGUUACAGACCCUCCUCUCGUAUCAGGUGCCACUUGUGCCCAGCUAGGUUAUAUUGGCCAAAUGUGAAGGAGAGGACAGUGCCUAGAUGGGGCACAUACUCUCCUGCAAGGCAGAGGCAUUUACAUUGUCUUGAAGCCAAGUGGUAGGGUGAGAGUUCUUAACUGGGAGGAGUGGGCCCCUUGUUCAGUUUUACAGGGUUCAGUAGAAUUUGGGGAUUUGUGAUUUUCAGGUGCUUUAACCUGGUUUGUCUACAUGAUGGUCCCAACUCUUCCCCAACCUACACCCCCGCCUUAGCAUAGCAAACCUGCCUUGCUCAUUUAUUUAACAUUUUUCAUUGUUGAGUUUCUCUGGAAAUUAAGUCCUAGGCCAUGUCCUCAGCUUCCUCUACUCUCUCCCUUUAGUAGAUGUUACCAAAGAGGCCCUCUGACUUUCAAAUUUGCUUUAAGUUGGUGAAUAGUUGUUCUUGGUUUUCAGUUAUUUCAGUAGGCACCCAAUUCCAUUGUCCUUGGAGUUACCUUCCCCCCGUAUUUGUCAAGCAUAUGGUACAUCACACUAACUAGCGCUUUCCUUUUCACUAGUAUGCCCCUCAAUUUACCACUGAAUGAUGGGACCACUGCCUUUUUUCCGGUGACUAUCUUUAUUUCACUUCUGACCAAUGGUGAUGUUCUCAAUGCGAUCCAGGCAGUAUGUGAUCCUGCUCCCAAACCCGCAUCUUGGAAACUGCUUCUUCUUUCUGCCUGCUUCCCUAUGAAGCCAACGCUGAGAUGUGCUUAA